rnacentral:rRNA from 1 species
GACGUAGGGGGCGAGCGUUGUCCGGAGUACUGGGCGUAAAGCGCACGCAGGCGGUCUGCUAAGUUUGGAGUGACAGUUGGUGGCUUAACUGCCAAAGUGCUUCGAAAACUGACAGACUUGAGGGCUUCAGAGGGACACGGAAUUCCGGGUGGAGUGGUGAAAUGCGUAGAGAUGUGGAGGAACACCAGUGGCGAAGGCGACUACCUGGACCGGUUCUGACACUGAGGAGCGAAAGCGUGGGGAGCGAUCCGGG